rnacentral:rRNA from 1 species
GACGAACCGUGCGAACGUUGUUCGGAAUCACUGGGCUUAAAGGGCGCGUAGGCGGGCGGUCAAGUCAGAGGUGAAAUCCCACGGCUCAACCGUGGAAGUGCCCCUGAUACUGAUCGCCUCGAGGGAGGUAGGGGCGUGCGGAACUUCCGGGUGGAGCGGUGAAAUGCGUAGAUAUCGGAAGGAACACCGAUGGCGAAAGCAGCGCGCUGGACCUUUACUGACGCUGGAGGCGCGAAAGCCAGGGGAGCAAACGG